GCCUGUGUGGUGUAGUGGUUUGAGUGUUGGACUAUGACUCUGGAGACCAGGGUUCAAAUCUCAACUCAGCCA